rnacentral:rRNA from 1 species
GAUGAACGCUGGCGGCGUGCCUAAUACAUGCAAGUCGAGCGAACAGACGAGGAGCUUGCUCCUCUGACGUUAGCGGCGGACGGGUGAGUAACACGUGGAUAACCUACCUAUAAGACUGGGAUAACUUCGGGAAACCGGAGCUAAUACCGGAUAAUAUAUUGAACCGCAUGGUUCAAUAGUGAAAGACGGUUUUGCUGUCACUUAUAGAUGGAUCCGCGCCGCAUUAGCUAGUUGGUAAGGUAACGGCUUACCAAGGCAACGAUGCGUAGCCGACAUGAGAGGGUGAUCGGCCACACUGGAACUGAGACACGGUCCAGACCCCUACGGGAGGCAGCAGGAGGGAAUCUUCCGCAAUGGGCGAAAGCCUGACGGAGCAACGCCGCGUGAGUGAUGAAGGUCUUCGGAUCUUAAAACUCUGUUAUUAGGGAAGAACAAAUGUGUAAGUAACUAUGCACGUCUUGACGGUACCUAAUCAGAAAGCCACGGCUAACUACGUU